GGUCCAUAAAAAUCAUCAAGUACAAAAGAAGAAGUAAAAUCAGCAUAGAUUUAUAGUGAAUGAAAUCAGAACAGAGGUUGACUCUGGAGGGAUAAUAGUGGUUAGAGAAUGAGAGGUUACAUGUAGUUAAAUCUAAAAAAUCGUCUCAUUAAAGCAUAAGCAUAUUCCUGUCCUGUGAGAUUUAAAUGUAUGUGAGUAUACAGACACUCUGAUAUAAAUAUACACACGUAAGUAUUAAAAUAUUUUAAUGUAUUACAUAAAACAUAGUAUAAAAUUAUAAUGCAUGCCUAUUAAAGAAAACAACAACAAUACCAGUAGGCAAGACUGAAUUAAAGUGUUACAGUUAAAAUGGAGAUUAAAUAUUCUAAGGUCUUUACAUUGUCCCUGAGGUAUAAAAAAAAUCACCAGUCUACGUCUAUUAACCCCAAUUUAUAUAAGAAAAUACUAAGCCUUAUUUUAAUAUUUAGGAUAAAGAGAAUAAUUGUAAAAGAAUAUAAGACGAAGAAGCAAAUACAGGAGAAAAAUAAAACAAUAAUUAUCCUAAAGAGAAACUAAGACAAUAGAGACCAAAAAAAGAUUGUAGAAUAGAUAGAAUAAUUAGAAAAGACAAAGAAAAUAGAUUUAAAUCCAAGUACGCCAGUAAUCACAUUAAAUAUGAAUAAACUAAAUAUGCCAAUUAAAUGACAAAGACUGUCAGACUAGGUGAAAUUUAGAAAACUGUCACAUGAGAGACACUUUAAUAUAUAAGGACAAAGAAAGAUUAAAAGUAAAAAGAUGGAGAUAGACUUUCUAUUUCUAUAGUCUGAAUGUUCCAUAGGUUAAAAUCCUAACUUGAAGGGGAUGGUAUUAGGAGGUAGAGCCCUCGUGAAUGAGACAACAGAUUAGUGCUCUUAGAGCUGAGGCUCCAGAGAGGUCCCUCGGCCCUCCAACCGUGUGAGGACGCAGAAGUCUGUGACCUGGAAAAGGCCGUUUUUCAACCAUGCUGGCCCUCUGACCGUGACUUCAGCCUCCAGAACUGUGAGCAGUAAAUUUCUGCUAUUUUUAAGUCAUCAGUCUGUGAUAUUUUAUAGAGGCCUUUAAUGGACUAAGGCAAACGUAUAAAAGGAAAGCUUUCAUGUCAUCACUUAUAUCAGACAGAUUAUAUUUAAGGCAAAAAGCAUUACUGAAGAUUGAGGAUAUAUCAUAAUGAAAAAAAUUUCAAUGUACCUGGGAGUUGGUGAUGGUUAAUUUUAUGUGUUACCUUGACUAGACCAUGGUACCAAGAUAUGUAGCCAAACAGUAUUCUAGAUGUUUCUGUGUAGGUAUUUUUCAGAUGAGAGUAACAGUUAAAUCAGUAAUAAGACAGAUUUCCCCUCAAAAUGUGAAUGGGCCUCAUGCAGUCAGUUGAAGGCCUUAAUGGAAGACUGACCUCCCCAGAAGAAGGGGGCAUUUCUGCCAGCAGAGGGUCUUUGAAGUCAAACUACAAAUCCUCCCUGGAUCUUCAGCUGGCCAGGCUACCCUGAAGAUUUUGGACCCACCGGCCUCCACGGGCAUCUAUAUAUCAGAGACAAUCAAAUGUAUAUAUAAAACUGCUUACUGAGUUUGUACCUUGAUUGAACCCCAGAAUAUCCUGUUGAUAACCUUGUGAUGUGGGUAGGUAUUGAUAUUUCCAUUUAUAGGAACAAACACAGUGCUAAAAGGUUGCCUACCUUACUGAAGGACAUACCUACUGAUUAUUAAUAUCAGAUCAAAGCCCAUAUCCUUCUGACACCAAACUCAUUUUCUCCUUCCAUGGGUUGGUCUCCUCUUUUCAAUAAUCUUACUGGCUUAUUCUGUCAUUUUGUAGUUGGAGAUGAUUGACUUGAUUUUCUUGCCUAGUAGACCCAUGGCACAGCACCUCGUGGUGUCCAGUGGGGGGCCCUAUCUUUCCAGACAGACUGCCCUGCCCUGCGACUCCCUGCCCUUGCACUUCCCUGCCGAAUUCCUGCCCUUGCACUUCUCAGCCAAGUGCACAUCAGAUGCUUUCAGGGCUCUAUCGCUCUCCAAGUGACAGAUCUUAAUGCUCAUAAUUGUCACCCAUUAUAUCAUUAUUACAUUUUCUGUGGAAUUAAAAUCCUUUUCAUGAAAGGGCAAAAAAAGUUCAUCUGCCUUACGGUGUAUCCCAAACUUCUUUAUCGGGGUAUUUGCUCUGUAAAAUUUCCAGCUGAGGCUCCAGAGUGACUUUCACUGCCUUGCUCCCUGGCAGUUUGUGGAGAGGAUGUUCAAGUCACACGGGAACCUCUGCCGUCAGUGUCUUCCUUUUAGAAUUUACAGCUGUGAAACAAUGAGUCCUUGAGGGCAGGGGCAGUACCUUUCCAGCCUCUGUGUGCCUGGCACCAUGCCUCACACAUCAUAGGUAAUGCAUAAGUGCUUAUCAAUAAGGGGCAUUCGCCAUUCCUUUUUUUCAAGCACAUUUGAAUACUUUGCUUUCAAGUCUGUAGCGCGGCCCUCAAGCUUAAUGGAAUUGGAGCAAAACAUAUUUAGAAAGAUUUAAGUAGAAAGUUUAUGUCCCAUUUUGCAGACAAAGAAACUGAAGCCUGAGACAUUGAGAUACUGAAUCCAAGAGCUACGCAGAAGAACGAUGGCAGAGGCAAAGCUAGUCAGAGAUGAUCAAAUGCCUUUCCUCUCUGCAUCCUGCUACCCGGCCCCGUCCCUGUGUCUUGCGUUGGUUCAUUCUUUCUUCUCUUUUUUCUGAUCUUACUAUUGUAGAAGUUCUUCCUCUCUUGAACCAGUGCAGAAGUUCCUGGCAGCACAGGGUCGGUGAGGUGUACGCCCUGCUUCAGCAGCAUCACAGCAGGGACCAAAGCCAAGCACUGUGAGUUCCUUCCCGUCUAAGCUUCCAAGGCAGCAUCUUUGACCCAUGGGUCAAAAGAGAGUAGCUUGCAUCACUUUCUCUGGCCAGUGUUUGCUGGCCUGUUUGUCUCCCCAUGAGGGGCUGGAGGCCCUGGAGAGACAGUGAGCAGUCAGCAGGGGGAGAGCUCAGACCCUGGAGAAACAUUCCUGGGGUCUCAGCUACGUGCUCAUUCAGUAAUCACUGACUGACAGGCACUCUGCUACCAUGGAGGGGCUGUCAUGGUAACAAGACAAGCAUGGUCCCUGCUCCUAGAAGAUAGGAAUUUGAUGAAUGAAUUAAAAAUGACUUCAGUUCCCGCUGUGGCUCACUGGGAUGAGGAUUCGGGUUCAAUCCCUGCCCCCUCUCAGUGGGUUAAGGAUCCAAUGUUGUUGUGAGCUGUGGCAUAGGUCGCAGACAUGGCUCAGAUCUGAUAGUGCUGUGGCUGUGGUGUAGGCCAACAGCUGCAGCUUCAAUUUGACCCCCUAGCCUAG
rnacentral:lncRNA from 1 species